GCCCGAUUAACUCAGUCGGUAGAGUGACAGGCUCUUAACCUGCUAGUCGCGGGUUCGAGCCCCGCAUCGGGCU